GGUGACUCAGUGGUAGAGUGCUUGCCUUGCAUGCAUGAGGCUCUGGGUUCGAUUCCCCAGCACCA
rnacentral:tRNA from 1 species